GACGAACGCUGGCGGCGUGCUUAACACAUGCAAGUCGAACGGAAAGGCCUGCUUUCCCUUGUGGAUUGCGGGUACUCGAGUGGCUAACGGGUGAGUAACACGUGAGUGAUCUGCCCCCAACUUGGGUAUAAGCCUGGGAAACUGGGUCGAAUUCCCGAUAGGACUGCAGGGUGGUGCCGGUGGUGGAAAACGAUUUUCUAGUGGUUGGGGAUGAGCUCGCGGCCUAUCAGCUUGUUGUGGGGGUACUGGCCUACCACGGCGGCGACGGGUAGCCAGCGUGAGAGCGUGCACGGCGCCAGUGAGACUGAGUCCCGGCCCCGACUCCUACGAGCGGCAGCAAUGGGGACGCUUGCGGCAUGGGCGGAACGCUGCUGCAGCGACUCAGCGUGGAGGAUGCCGGGCUUCGGGAUGUAAGCUCCUUUCGACGGCGAGAAGGCCACCUGGUUGGGAGGAUGGUGACGGUAGUGGUAGAAAAAGCCCCGGCUAACUACGUG
rnacentral:rRNA from 1 species